rnacentral:lncRNA from 1 species
AAUAACUAAAUCCUAUUGGUUGAGUGAACCUAUAGGUUCACCUAGGAGGUGAACCUAAGAAUUUCUAAAAAACAAUAGUCUCUAAGCACACAUCUGAGAAAGCACUUAGUCAGAGAACACAAACUACUAGUGUUAAGCCUUUAGUCAAAAAAAAAAAAACAACUACAAGUGUGGAACAACAAUUUCCUCAAAUAACCCGUGAAAUUUUUUAAUUUUAAAAUUAUGAAGAUUUUGCUUAACUGGAAUAUAGAAAAAACGAUUUUAUCUAAGUUUAUCUGAUAAUCAAAAGUAAUGUGACAAAAAAGCUUAUUUCAUGAUCAAACUAGUCCUAACAUGCCAGCCUCGUGAGCUACAAUGUCUACAAGCGUGUAAUGUAAGUCGUGUGAUCGAGCCUCUUAAAGCUCAAAGUAAAAGA